rnacentral:rRNA from 1 species
CCAGACUCCUACGGGAGGCAGCAGUGGGGAAUAUUGCACAAUGGGGGGAACCCUGAUGCAGCGACGCCGCGUGAGUGAAGAAGUAUUUCGGUAUGUAAAGCUCUAUCAGCAGGGAAGAAGAUGACGGUACCUGACUAAGAAGCCCCGGCUAACUACGUGCCAGCAGCCGCGGUAAUACGUAGGGGGCAAGCGUUAUCCGGAUUUACUGGGUGUAAAGGGAGCGUAGACGGCAGGGCAAGUCUGGAGUGAAAGCCCGGGGCCCAACCCCGGGACUGCUUUGGAAACUGCCAUGCUAGAGUGCUGGAGAGGUAAGCGGAAUUCCUAGUGUAGCGGUGAAAUGCGUAGAUAUCACGCAGAACUCCGAUUGCGAAGGCAGCAUACCGGCGCGCAACUGACGCUCAUGCACGAAAGCGUGGGUAUCGAACAGGAUUAGAUACCCGAGUA